CCUACGGGUGGCAGCAGUGAGGAAUAUUGGUCAAUGGGCUUAAGCCUGAACCAGCCAAGUCGCGUGAGGGAAGACUGCCCUAUGGGUUGUAAACCUCUUUUGUCAGGGAGCAACGCCGGCUACGUGUAGCCGGACUGAGAGUACCUGAAGAAAAAGCAUCGGCUAACUCCGUGCCAGCAGCCGCGGUAAUACGGAGGAUGCGAGCGUUAUCCGGAUUUAUUGGGUUUGAAGGGUGCGUAGGCGGAAUGCCAAGUCAGCGGUAAAAUCGCGGGGCUCAACCUCGCUCCGCCGUUGAAACUGGCGGUCUUGAGUGGGUGAGAGGUAUGCGGAAUGCGUGGUGUAGCGGUGAAAUGCAUAGAUAUCACGCAGAACUCCGAUUGCGAAGGCAGCAUACCGGCGCUCAACUGACGCUCAUGCACGAAAGUGUGGGUAUCGAACAGGAUUAGAUACCCCAGUAGUC
rnacentral:rRNA from 1 species